AUAAUAAUAACAGAACAUAUACUGCAAUUGGAACGAUACAGAGAAGAUUAGCAUGGCCCCUCCGCAAGGAUGACACGCAAAAUCGUGAAGCGUUCCACAUUUUU
rnacentral:snRNA from 1 species